rnacentral:rRNA from 1 species
UAAUACGUAGGGGGCGAGCGUUGUCCGGAUUCAUUGGGCGUAAAGAGCUCGUAGGCGGCUGUUCAAGUCGAUUGUGAAAACUCGGAGCUCAACUCCGAGCCUGCGUUCGAUACUGGACGGCUAGAGUCUGGUAGGGGGACCUGGAAUUCCUGGUGUAGCGGUGGAAUGCGCAGAUAUCAGGAGGAACACCGGUGGCGAAGGCGGGGUCCUGGGCCAGUACUGACGCUGAGGAGCGAAAGCGUGGGGAGCAAACAGGAUUAGAUACCCUGGUAGUCCACGCCGUAAACGAUGGGCGCUAGGUGUGGGAGGUCAUCGACUCCUUCCGUGCCGUAGCUAACGCAUUAAGCGCCCCGCCUGGGGAGUACGGCCGCAAGGCUA